ACUUGGUGUGAAUUGCAGAAUCCCGUGAACCAUCGAGUCUUUGAACGCAAGUUGCGCCCAAAGCCAUUAGGUUGAGGGCACGCCUGCCUGGGUGUCACACAUCGCCACCCCCCCACUUAAACCGUGUGCCGGGGUGAAAGCUGACCUCCCGCGAGCCCGUUCCUCGUGGUUGGUUCAAAAGCAAGUUCACGGCGGAGUCCCCGCGAUAAAUGGUGGAUGGGCAAUGCCCGAGGCCAAUCGUGUGGAUCUGUGGCUCCACCUUAUUGGACUAGUUGACCCUAUGCGUCUUUGGGGAAACCCACGGCGCUCUUAGCGAGACCUCAGGUCAGGCGGGGCUAC
rnacentral:rRNA from 1 species